rnacentral:ncRNA from 2 species
UAUUUUUACGUUCACUGUGAACAAAUCAGGACGCUUAGAGUAUGGCCACAUGAAUGACUCAGCGCAGUAUGAAGUCUUUGUUUUCUUCCGAAAACAAGCUCAAUGAGAGCCAUCGGGGGUAGAUCUAUCUCAUGACGAGUGGUGGAAUACUUUGACUCAUGAGAGAGAAGCUGAGGCGAAGGCGUCUACCUAGAGGGUUUCUGUCGAUCAAGGGCGAGAGUAGGAGUAUCCAACAGGAUUAGAGACCCUGGUAGUUCCUACCUUAAACGAUGCCGACAGGAGUUUGUCAUUUGUUAAUGGCAGAAUCUUUGGAGAAAUCAUAGUUCUUGGGCUCUGGGGGAACUACGACCGCAAGGCUGAAACUUGAAGGAAUUGACGGAAGGGCACACCAGGGGUGGAGCCUGUGGCUUAAUUUGAAUCAACACGGGGAAACUUACCAGGACCAGAUGUUUUUUAUGACUGACAGGCUUCGGGUCUUUCAGGAUAUUGUUUUUGGUGGUGCAUGGCCGUUGGUGGUGCGUGGGUUGACCUGUCUAGCGUUGAUUCAGCUAACGAGCGAGAUUAUCGCCAAUUAUUUACUUUGCCGAAGUCCUUCGGUUAAAGUUCUAAUUGGGACUCCCUGCGAUUUUAGCAGGUGGAAGAGGGUAGCAAUAACAGGUCCGUGAUGCCCUUUAGAUGCUCUGGGCUGCACGCGUGCUACAAUGUUAGGAUCAAUAGGACUGCGAGCCUGAGAGGGUGCGCUACUCUUAUAAUCCCUAACGUAGUUGGGAUUGACGUUUGUAAUCAGCGUCAUGAACCAGGAAUCCCUUGUAAAUGUGUGUCAACAACGCACGUUGAAUACGUCCCCUGCCCUUUGUACACACCCGCCCGUCGCUCCUACCGAUUUGGGAUGACUCGGUGAAAUCACCGGAUGCUUACGAGCAGAAAGUGAUUAAAUCA